AAAAGCCUGAUUGAGCGACGCCGCGUGAGGGAUGACGGCCUUCGGGUUGUAAACCUCUUUCAGCAGGAAGAAGCGAAAGUGACGGUACCUGCAGAAGAAGCGCCGGCUAACUACGUGCCAGCAGCGCGGUAAUAUAUAGAGCGCAAGCGUUGUCCGGAAUUAUUGGGCGUAAAGAGCUCGUAGGCGGCUUGUCACGUCGAUUGUGAAAGCUCGGGCUUAACCCCGAGUCGCAGUCGAUACGGGCUAGCUAGAGUGUGGUAGGGGAGAUCGGAAUUCCUGGUGUAGCGGUGAAAUGCGCAGAUAUCAGGAGGAACACCGGUGGCGAAGGCGGAUCUCUGGGCCGUACUUCAUUUAUUUGAGGUCAAAGCCUGAGGGAUAUACGUAAUUGUACACGUUAACUACGCCGCAACACGGAAAUAGAAGGUCUAUAAAAUGGAUUACCAAGCCGGCGGCCGAGCCAGCCAUCGGCAGAAUGAGGCGCGGNGAAGAGAAAGUACAGGGGGCACGGGGCCG
rnacentral:rRNA from 1 species